rnacentral:rRNA from 1 species
UCACUUGUCUUUUAAAUGNAGACCUGUAUGAAUGGCAUAACGAGGGCUUAACUGUCUCCUUUUUCCAGUCAGUGAAAUUGAUUUCCCCGUGCAGAAGCGGGGAUAAAAACAUAAGACGAGAAGACCCUAUGGAGCUUUAGACACUAAAAUGGCCCAUGUCAAUAACCCUUAAUAAAGGACUGAACUAAAUGGAAACCACCUUGAUGUCUUUGGUUGGGGCGACCGCGGGGAACUAAAUAACCCCCAUGUGGAAUGAGAGAACUUCUCUUACAGCUCAGAGUUACAACUCUAAUAAACAGAAUUUCUGACCAAAAAGAUCCGGCAACGCCGAUCAACGGACCUAGUUACCCUAGGGAUAACAGCGCAAUCCUCUUUUAGAGUCCC